rnacentral:rRNA from 1 species
AACGAACGCUGGCGGCAGGCUUAACACAUGCAAGUCGAGCGAGGACUUCGGUUCUAGCGGCGGACGGCUGAGUAACGCCUGGUAAUUUGCCCUUCUCUACCCAAUAGCCCUGGGAAACUGGGCGUAAUACCGCAUACGCUCUUUCCGGGUAAGAUUUAUCGGGGAAGGAUCAGCCCGCGUUGGAUUAGGUAGUUGGUGGGGUAAUGGCCUACCAAGGCGACGUUCCAUAGCUGGUUUGUUAGGAUGAUCAGCCACACUGGGACUGAGACACGGCCCAGACUGCGACGGAGGGCAGCAGUGGGGAGUCUUAGACGAUGGAGGCAACCCUGGUCUAGCCAUGCCGCGUGAGUGAGGAAGGCCUUAGGAUUGUAAAGCUCUUUCAGCUGGGAAGAGAAUGACGGUAACAGCAGAAGAAGCCCCGGCUAACUCCGUG